UACGUAGGUCGCAAGCGUUGUCCGGAUUUACUGGGCGUAAAGAGCGCGCAGGCGGCUGGUCAAGUCCGAUGUGAAAUCUCCCGGCUCAACUGGGAAACUGCAUCGGAAACUGAUCGGCUUGAAGAUGGGAGAGGUAGUGGAAUUCCCGGUGUAGUGGUGGAAUGCGUAGAUAUCGGGAAGAACACCAGUGGCGAAAGCGGCUCUCUGGGGGUUUUGCUGACGCUGAGGCGCGAAAGCGUGGGAGCGAACCGG
rnacentral:rRNA from 1 species